rnacentral:rRNA from 1 species
UACGGAGGGUGCAAGCAUUAAUCGGAUUAAUUGGGCGUAUAGGGCGCGUAGGCGGAAAUGUAAGUCAGAUGUGAAAUCCCGGGGCUCAACCCCGGAACUGCAUUUGAAACUGCAUUCCUUGAGGGUAGGCGGAGAAAACGGAAUUCCACAAGUAGCGGUGAAAUGCGUAGAUAUGUGGAAGAACACCUGUGGCGAAAGCGGUUUUCUAGCUUACUCCUGACGCUAAGGCGCGAAAGCUAGGGGAGCAAACAGG